CCUACGGGAGGCAGCAGUAGGGAAUAUUGCUCAAUGGGGGAAACCCUGAAGCAGCAACGCCGCGUGGAGGAUGAAGCUUCUCGGAUCGUAAACUCCUUUCGUUAGAGAAGAUAAUGACGGUAUCUGACGAAUAAGCACCGGCUAACUCCGUGCCAGCAGCCGCGGUAAUACGGAGGGUGCAAGCGUUACUCGGAAUCACUGGGCGUAAAGAGCGCGUAGGCGGGAAAGCAAGUCAGAUGUGAAAUCCUAUGGCUUAACCAUAGAACUGCAUUUGAAACUGUUAGUCUAGAGUAUGGGAGAGGUAGGUGGAAUUCUUGGUGUAGGGGUAAAAUCCGUAGAGAUCAAGAGGAAUACUCAUUGCGAAGGCGACCUGCUAGAACAUAACUGACGCUGAUGCGCGAAAGCGUGGGGAGCAAACAGGAUUAGAUACCCGGGUAGUC
rnacentral:rRNA from 1 species